rnacentral:misc_RNA from 1 species
GAUGAAGAACGUAGCGAAAUGCGAUAAGUAAUGCGAAUUGCAGAUUUCAGUGAGUCAUCGAAUCUUUGAACGCACAUUGCGCCCGCCAGUAUUCUGGCGGGCAUGCCUGUUCGAGCGUCAUUUCAACCAUCAAGCCCCCGGGCUUGCGUUGGGGCCCUGCGGCUGCCGCAGGCCCCGAAAAGCAGUGGCGGGCUCGCUAUCACACCGAGUGCAGUAGAUUACUCUUCGCUCAGGGCGUGUGGCGGGUUCCAGCCGUGAAACCCCCUACUUCUCAAGGUUGACCUCGGAUCAGGUAGGAAUACCCGCUGAACUUAAGCAUAUCAAUAAGCGGAGGA